AGUGGGGAAUAUUGCACAAUGGGCGCAAGCCUGAUGCAGCGACGCCGCGUGAGGGAUGACGGCCUUCGGGUUGUAAACCUCUUUCAGCACAGACGAAGCGCAAGUGACGGUAUGUGCAGAAGAAGCACCGGCCAACUACGUGCCAGCAGCCGCGGUAAUACGUAGGGUGCGAGCGUUGUCCGGAAUUACUGGGCGUAAAGAGCUCGUAGGUGGUUUGUCGCGUUGUUCGUGAAAACCGGGGGCUUAACCCUGGGCGUGCGGGCGAUACGGGCAGACUGGAGUACUGCAGGGGAGACUGGAAUUCCUGGUGUAGCGGUGGAAUGCGCAGAUAUCAGGAGGAACACCGGUGGCGAAGGCGGGUCUCUGGGCAGUAACUGACGCUGAGGAGCGAAAGCGUGGGGAGCGAA
rnacentral:rRNA from 1 species